GCUGCUUUGGCACAGGCGGUAGCGCACCUCAUUGGUAGUGAGGAGGUCUCGGGUUCGAGUCCCGAAAGCAGCU
rnacentral:tRNA from 1 species